rnacentral:ncRNA from 1 species
UUACAUGAGAGUUUGAUCCUGGCUCAGGACGAACGCUGGCGGCGUGCCUAAUACAUGCAAGUCGAACGGUCUUUUCUAUGGAAGCUUGCUUCCACUGAGAAGAUAGUGGCGAACGGGUGAGUAACACGUGGGUAACCUGCCCAUAAGAGGGGGAUAACAUCCGGAAACGGGUGCUAAUACCGCAUAGGUUUCUUGGUCGCAUGAUCGAGAAAGGAAAGACGGCCUUUG